rnacentral:lncRNA from 1 species
GAGGAUGGUCCGUAAAAGAGGAAAACUGGAUGGUUGGGCCCAUGCCCAUUGAGAGGGUAGGUUCUGUAGAACAGUGCAGGGCCACACCCACAAUUGUGACCUGAGACGCAGGCCUUCCUAACACCCUGGAAACAUUAUCCAGGAUCCAGGAGAGAAGCCUAAACAGGAUCGCAGGAAGGGACUCGAAGGAGCGUUGUUCUAUCUACAGCAAUCACGCUGCUUCAGAGGAACAGGCAGAGCCCUCACCCGGGCAAUGCUGGGCACAACGGGGGCAGUCAUGGUCCAAACCCCACCUGCAAUUCAGUUGUAGGAGAGGGCCAGUGCUAAGAACAAAGGUGGAAGCAGGACCGUCCUCAGGGAGCCGCUUCUGAACACUCCUGGCAGAGUUCAACAUUCACUGUCAGUGAUCAGAUUAAAAAUUACUUCACCAUCAUAACCGGACUUUCACCCUCCCCAGCCCUCCUCCUUUGCAAAUACAAUCUGGUUCCUGGACUCGCCUCACUGCCUACAAAGAACAAGAACAACGGUCUCCACGUCCCCCGUGGGGUGCAACGUGGCUCUGCCUCACAG